GAUGAACGCUGGCGGUGUGUCUAAUACAUGCAAGUCGAGCGCCCCUUGUGGGGAGCGGCGAACGGCUGAGUAACGCGUUGGUAGCUGCCCUGUACUCAGGGAUAACAUGGAGAAAUUCAUGCUAAUACCGGAUAGCCCCGUAAGGGUAAAGAUUUUUCGGUACAGGAGGUGCCUGCGUCCUAUCAGCUUGUUGGUGAGGUAAUGGCUCACCAAGGCUAUGACGGGUAGCUGGUCUGAGAGGAUGAUCAGCCAGAAUGGGACUGAGACACGGCCCAU
rnacentral:rRNA from 1 species